rnacentral:ncRNA from 2 species
UAUCUUUGCGGCAGAUUUGGUCUCCUGCCGCCGUCGGGCGGAGGGGUGAAAAGGGAAUCGGGUGCAAAUCCCGGACAGUCCCGCUGCUGUGAAGCUCCGCGUUCGUUCCGAACAUCUCGGCCACUGAUCCUCUCGGGAUCGGGAAGGCUUCGGAACGGGAGUAAGUCAGAAGACCUGCCAAGUCGAUUCGAUGCCG